rnacentral:rRNA from 1 species
ACGAUGAACCACUUCGGUGGGGAUUAGUGGCGAACGGGUGAGUAACACGUGGGCAAUCUGCCCUGCACUCUGGGACAAGCCCUGGAAACGGGGUCUAAUACCGGAUACUGACGCUCGCAGGCAUCUGUGAGAGUCGAAAGCUCCGGCGGUGCAGGAUGAGCCCGCGGCCUAUCAGCUUGUUGGUGAGGUAACGGCUCACCAAGGCGACGACGGGUAGCCGGCCUGAGAGGGCGACCGGCCACACUGGGACUGAGACACGGCCCAGACUCCUACGGGAGGCAGCAGUGGGGAAAAUUGCACAAUGGCCGAAAGCCUGAUGCAGCGACGCCGCGUGAGGGAUGACGGCCUUCGGGUUGUAAACCUCUUUCAGCAGGGAAGAAGCGAAAGUGACGGUUCCUGCAGAAGAAGCGCCGGCUAACUACGUGCCAGCAGCCGCGGUAAUACGUAGGGCGCAAGCGUUGUCCGGAAUUAUUGGGCGUAAAGAGCUCGUAGGCGGCUUGUCGCGUCGGUUGUGAAAGCCCGGGGCUUAACCC